rnacentral:rRNA from 1 species
UACGUAGGCAGCAAGCGUUGUUCGGAGUUACUGGGCGUAAAGGGUGCGUAGGCGGCUUUUUAAGUUUGGUGUGAAAUCUCCCGGCUCAACUGGGAGGGUGCGCCGAAUACUGAAUGACUUCGAGUGCGGGAGAGGAGAGUGGAAUUCCUGGUGUAGCGGUGAAAUGCGUAGAUAUCAGGAGGAACACCGGUGGUGUAGACGGCUCUCUGGACCGUAACUGACGCUGAGACACGAAAGCGUGGGUAGCAAACAGG